rnacentral:rRNA from 1 species
CCUACGGGUGGCAGCAGUGGGGAAUAUUGCACAAUGGGGGAAACCCUGAUGCAGCGACGCCGCGUGAGCGAAGAAGUAUUUCGGUAUGUAAAGCUCUAUCAGCAGGGAAGAAGAAAGACGGUACCUGACUAAGAAGCCCCGGCUAACUGCGUGACAGCAGCCGCGGUAAUACGUAGGGGGCAAGCGUUAUCCGGAUUUACUGGGUGUAAAGGGAGCGUAGACGGCAGGGCAAGUCUGAAGUGAAAGCCCAGGGCUCAACCCUGGGACUGCGUUGGAAACUGUGGGGCUAGAGUGCUGGAGAGGGAAGUGGAAUUCCGAGGGUAGCGGUGAAAAGCGGAGAUAUUAGGAGGGACACCAGUGGGGAAGGCGGCCUAAUGGACGGUAACUGACGGUGAGGCUCGAAAGCGUGGGGAGCAAACAGGAUUAGAUACCCCUGUAGUC